rnacentral:rRNA from 1 species
UACGAAGGCUCCAAGCGUUAUCCGGAUUUAUUGGGCGUAAAGAGUGCGUAGGAGGUUCAGUGCGUUUCUUGUUAAAUUCCAAGGCUCAACUUUGGAGCUGCAAGGAAUACGGCUGAACUAGAGUGUGCGAGAGGCUAAUAGAACUCACGGUGUAGGGGUGAAAUCCGUUGAUAUCGUGGGGAAUACCAAAGGCGAAGGCAUUUAGCUGGCGCAUUACUGACUCUCAUUGCACGAAAGCGUGGGGAGCAAAAAGG